rnacentral:rRNA from 1 species
AUUGAACGCUGGCGGCAGGCCUAACACAUGCAAGUCGAGCGGAUGAAGGGAGCUUGCUCCUGGAUUCAGCGGCGGACGGGUGAGUAAUGCCUAGGAAUCUGCCUGGUAGUGGGGAUAACGGUCGGAAAACGGGGGCUAAUCCCGCAUACGCCCGGGGGGGGAAGGUGGGGGUUCUUGGGACUCCAGGCUAUCGGAUGAGCCUAGGUCGGAUUAGCUAGUUGGUGGGGUAAAGGCCUACCAAGGCGACGAUCCGUAACUGGUCUGAGAGGAUGAUCAGUCACACUGGAACUGAGACACGGUCCAGACUCCUACGGGAGGCAGCAGUGGGGAAUAUUGGACAAUGGGCGAAAGCCUGAUCCAGCCAUGCCGCGUGUGUGAAGAAGGUCUUCGGAUUGUAAAGCACUUUAAGUUGGGAGGAAGGGCAGUAAGUUAAUACCUUGCUGUUUUGACGUUACCAACAGAAUAAGCACCGGCUAACUUCGUG